GUCCACGCCCUAAACGAUGCAUAUUUGGUGUGGGCAGUUCAUUCUGUCCGUGCCGGAGCUAACGCGUUAAAUAUGCCGCCUGGGGAGUACAGUCGCAAGGCUGAAACUCAAAGGAAUUGACGGGGGCCCGCACAAGCGGUGGAGCAUGUGGUUCAAUUCGACGCAACGCGAAGAACCUUACCUGGGCUCGAACGGCUUCUCAACGCCGGUAGAAAUACUGGUACCCCGCAAGGGGUGAGUCGAGGUGCUGCAUGGCUGUCGU
rnacentral:rRNA from 1 species